AGCAAUAGAAAACUGAAACAGAGAGAGAAUGAGAAACACAUCCAUCUUCUUUCUACCCACCUACCAUAUGUGGACUUCUUGCAUUGGUGAGUGUGAAAGAAGGAAGCAGAAAGCCUUGAUGAUGGUCAUAUUUUCAUUCAUCCAUAAUGCAGCCUUUGCGCAAGUUGAAAGACCGUUGAGAACAGGAAUGUUAUCUCACCCUUCACAGCCCAAACAAAGCCUAGCACUGGAUCUUGCCAGAGGUGAUGUCUUGUGAGCAGCUCUCAUCGGCAGCCCCGCACACAUGCACUUCCAUCUGGAUUCCCCAUCGCAGGCAGUGGCACC
rnacentral:lncRNA from 1 species